rnacentral:tRNA from 1 species
AAUCAAAUUAUAAAUUUAAUUGCAAAUUAAAAACUGAUUUUAAAAAAUCUUUGAUUU